GACGAACCGUGCGAACGUUGUUCGGAAUCACUGGGCUUAAAGGGCGCGUAGGCGGGCGGCCGCGUCCGGGGUGAAAUCCCACGGCUCAACCGUGGAACGGCCUCGGAUACGGGCGGCCUCGAGGGGGGUAGGGGCAUCUGGAACUGUGAGUGGAGCGGUGAAAUGCGUUGAUAUUCGCAAGAACACCAGUGGCGAAGGCGGCUCACUGGCCCGGUACUGACGCUGAGGUGCGAAAGCGUGGGGAGCAAACAGG
rnacentral:rRNA from 1 species